rnacentral:rRNA from 1 species
AACGCUAGCUACAGGCUUAACACAUGCAAGUCGAGGGGCAGCGGGGAUCUAGCUUGCUAGAUUUGCCGGCGACCGGCGCACGGGUGAGUAACACGUAUCCAACCUGGCCCAUACUCGGGUAUAGCCUCUCGAAAGGGAGAUUAAUCCCCGAUGUUGUCGUUGUUCCGCAUGGCACAACGACCAAAGUUAUACGGUAUGGGAUGGGGAUGCGUUCCAUUAGCUUGUUGGCGGGGUAACGGCCCACCAAGGCAACGAUGGAUAGGGGUUCUGAGAGGAAGGUUCCCCACACUGGAACUGAGACACGGUCCAGACUCCUACGGGAGGCAGCAGUGGGGAAUAUUGGUCAAUGGGCGAGAGCCUGAACCAGCCAAGUAGCGUGUAGGAUGACGGCCCUAUGGGUUGUAAACUGCUUUUAUGCGGGAAUAAGAUCAGAUACGUGUAUCUGCGUGCAUGUACCGCAUGAAUAAGGACCGGCUAAUUCCGUGCCAGCAGCCGCGGUAAUACGGAAGGUCCGGGCGUUAUCCGGAUUUAUUGGGUUUAAAGGGAGCGUAGGCGGCCUUUUAAGCGUGCUGUGAAAUGUANCCGGCUCAACCGGUGAAUUGCARCGNCGGACUGGAGGGCUUGAGUUCACGGAAGGCAGGCGGAAUUCGUGGUGUAGCGGUGAAAUGCUUAGAUAUCACGAAGAACUCCGAUUG